rnacentral:rRNA from 1 species
GAUCCUGGCUCAGAUUGAACGCUGGCGGCAUGCCUUACACAUGCAAGUCGAACGGCAGCACGGGAGCUUGCUCCUGGUGGCGAGUGGCGAACGGGUGAGUAAUGCAUCGGAACGUAUCCUGGAGUGGGGGAUAACGUAGCGAAAGUUACGCUAAUACCGCAUAUUCUGUGAGCAGGAAAGCGGGGGACCUUCGGGCCUCGCGCUCUUGGAGCGGCCGAUGUCGGAUUAG